rnacentral:rRNA from 1 species
GCCAGCCCGCUCAGAAACUUAAAGGAAUUGACGGGGGCCCGCACAAGCGGUGGAGUAUGUGGUUUAAUUCGAUGCAACGCGAAGAACCUUACCUGGUCUUGACAUCCCGGAGACCCUUAGGAAACUAGGGGGUGCUUCCAUCUGGAAGAAUCUGGAGACAGGUGCUGCAUGGCUGUCGUCAGCUCGUGUCGUGAGAUGUUGGGUUAAGUCCCGCAACGAGCGCAACCCUUGCCUUUAGUUGCCAGCAGUUCGGCUGGGCACUCUAAAGGGACUGCCGGUGUUAAACCGGAGGAAGGUGGGGAUGACGUCAAGUCCUCAUGGCCUUUAUGACCAGGGCUACACACGUACUACAAUGGCCGAUACAAAGGGCAGCGACACUGCGAGGUGAAGCCAAUCCCGUAAAAUCGGUCUCAGUCCGGAUUGGAGUCUGCAACUCGACUCCAUGAAGUUGGAAUCGCUAGUAAUCGUGGAUCAGCAUGCCACGGUGAAUACGUUCCCGGGCCUU